rnacentral:rRNA from 1 species
AUUGAACGCUGGCGGCAUGCCUUACACAUGCAAGUCGAACGGCAGCACGGGAGCAAUCCUGGUGGCGAGUGGCGAACGGGUGAGUAAAGUAUCGGAACGUGCCCAGUCGUGGGGGAUAACGUAGCGAAAGUUACGCUAAUACCGCAUACGAUCUAUGGAUGAAAGCGGGGGAUCGCAAGACCUCGCGCGAUUUGAGCGGCCGAUCUCAGAUGAGGUAGUUGGUGGGGUAAAGGCUCACCAAGCCGACGAUCUGUAGCUGGUCUGAGAGGACGACCAGCCACACUGGGACUGAGACACGGCCCAGACUCCUACGGGAGGCAGCAGUGGGGAAUUUUGGACAAUGGGCGAAAGCCUGAUCCAGCCAUGCCGCGUGCAGGAUGAAGGCCUUCGGGUUGUAAACUGCUUUUGUACGGAACGAAAAGGUUUGGGCUAAUAAGCUGAGCUCAUGACGGUACCGUAAGAAUAAGCACCGGCUAACUACGUGCCAGCAGCAGCCGCGG